UAAAGUGGACCAAGUGGAAAAAAACAACUAUUGCAGUAGAUGACCCAUCACUGACUGAAUAUAUGUUAUUAUAAAUAUGAAUAGCUUAAAAAUGUUUCUGCUUGAAAAAUCAAAAAUAUUUACAAUUUUGAAAAAGUUUGACCAGAAAAAGUAGGAAUUUCUAUUCUGAGCUCAAAAUAAAAUCAAAACUGUUACCAUAUGACAUCAUGGGGAUGAAGCCGCUCCAAAAGUGUAAGCUAAACCUUUUUUCUAUUACGUAUCAAUUGGUAAUUUUUGAGUUAUGAUCCAUUUAGUCUCCAGAAAUCUGUUUAAAUCAUUUGCACCUGGAAGCAGCAGCAGGCAGACGGACCCAUCAGGAUUUCAUCUGGCUGAACCGAUUCCUGAAACGAGGCAGAUCGAUCGAUAUCGUCUCCAUACGACAUGAAAGCAGAUGCAUCAUCUCUGCUGAAGAAUGACAAGCAAACAGCCAAGUCCCACCUUCUCUCCGCUCCUCUCGUUUCGCUCUUUGGGGAAAGAGGAAAAGUGUCAGAGUCGUGUCUGUUUCUCAUAAUCGUCAGAGUCGGAUUGUUGGAAAACUGCUGCAGUUUGUUGAACCAAAAGAUCCACAAUC